GCAGCUCUUCGCGUCGCUUCUCUGGCUCUCCACAAGACCACAACUACCGACUCUAACAAUUGCUUAAACGCUUAGUGCUUCUCCGUCCUUGACUACCGGCGUCUGGCUCACUGCCUCCGGUCAGCAGGAACACCGGCGUCCGGCCAAGCUGCAACCGCGGCUCUCAUCUCCUCUCCGUAAUCAGUAAUCAGAUGCUCCCAAGGCGGAGGAAAUGGAAGUCCAAUCAAGAUAACAAGUCUUCAUAAUCUGUACGAGAAGCGUGUGGCCGUGUUACAUAUCUAAUUCCAUUGAUUGAGAGAGUGUCAAAGGCGUUACCAGCAAUCUUGCGUUAUGGAAAAAUUUUUCAAAAGAAAAUCAACUUUUGGGGAUUCAUCUAGUCAAAGUAGUCGCGAAGUGUCAAGUACAAGGCCCCGUAUUGAAGUUAACAUAGAUGAACUUGAAGUUGAUCCGAGUAAAAGGAAAAAUAUAUAUGAAUAUCAUAUCAAUGAUAGAGAUAUUGUGCGGAGACGAUAUCUACAAAUGGGUCCUUGUCAACCAAAAAAUCAUGUAUUUCUGCUAUGAAGUUAAUCAAGACAUCUUUACGCAACCGGAUGAGUGAUGAUUUAUUACAUGAUUGCUUAGUGCCGUAUGUUGAAAAAGAUAUUUUUGAUCAAGUUUCAAAUGAAGCAAUUCUACAGCGAUUUCAAAAUAUGAGAGAGCGUAGAGGAGUAUUACCUCGUAGUUUAUCAUAAACUUUGUAUGGUAAUUUAUAAUGUAUUUUGAUUUUAACAAUUGUAUUCGUAUUUGAUAUUUUGUAUUUGAACCUUGUAUUUGAACA